UGGGGAAUAUUGGACAAUGGGCGCAAGCCUGAUCCAGCCAUGCCGCGUGAGUGAUGAAGGCCCUAGGGUUGUAAAGCUCUUUCACCGGUGAAGAUAAUGACGGUAACCGGAGAAGAAGCCCCGGCUAACUCCGUGCCAGCAGCCGCGGUAAUACGAAGGGGGUUAGCGUUGUUCGGAUUUACUGGGCGUAAAGCGCACGUAGGCGGACUUUUAAGUCAGGGGUAAAAUCCCGGGGCUCAACCCCGGAACUGCCUUUGAUACUGGAAGUCUUGAGUAUGGAAGAGGUGAAUCGAAUUCCGGGUGUAGAGGUAAGAUUCGUAGAUAUUCGGAGGAACACCAGUGGAAAAGGCGGCUCACUGGUACAUUACAAACGCUGAGGUGCAAAAGCGUGGAGAGCGAACCGG
rnacentral:rRNA from 1 species